rnacentral:misc_RNA from 1 species
AACGCACCUUGCGCCCUCUGGUAUUCCGGAGGGCAUGCCUGUUUGAGGGUCCUGACAUUUUCGCCCGCGGGUUCGCGGGGCGGACUUGGGGGUGGCCGGUGUGCGGGCCUCCGCUGAAAGGCGUUAGUGGUGUGGAGCCCAGGCGUGAUAAGUGUCGCCCGGGCGUGAAGCCGCUGCGAACUGUGGUUGUGAUUGAGACCUCAAAUCAGGUAGGACUACCCGCUGAACUUAA